GUUUCCGUAGUGUAGUGGUUAUCACGCCCGCCUAACACGCGGAAGGUCGCCGGUUCGAGCCCGGCUGGAAACA
rnacentral:tRNA from 1 species